UUUUACAACCCGAUACCAGAUAGUCAAAUGUACUUGGGUAAUAGCAGUAAACCUGGCCCCCUUGUGGCCAUUCUGCGCAUGCGUCAGAGGAUCGUUAGCCCUCAGACUUCCCAAGGCAAAGUUCGAGGGCGCCAUGUUUUCACGGGAAGACGGUGGAAGACGACAUGGACGGUCGUUUAACAAGGAAAUGCAUCGAUGUGGAGCCAUAUGGCGUCUAAGAAGCAGAGUCCUCUCUGUGUGUAAAACAGCAGCUUGCACCAACUAAGAUGCCUGACUGAGAAGAAUAUUGAAGGACGUUGACGCUCAAGAAUUUGGUCUCAAAAGCUUAGACAAGGUAAGAUCACAGUACAGCUGUUGGAUGACACCAACAUGGUUUAGUUAUUCAUUCAUUCAUUCAUUUUCUAUGCCGCUUAUCCUCACUACGGUGGGGGUAUGCUGGAGCCUAUCCCAGCUGUCUUCGGGCGAGAGGCGGUGUACACCCUGGACUGGUGGCCAGCCAAUCACAGGGUGCAUAUAGACAAACAACCAUUCACACUCACAUUCAUACCUAUGGACAAUUUGAGGUGGCCAAUUAACCUAGCAUGUUUUUGGAACGUGGGAGGAAACCGGAGUACCUGGAGAAAACCCACGCAUGCACGGAGAGAACAUGCAAACUCCACAGAGAUGCAACGGAGAAUCGAACCCAGGUCUUUGGUUUAGUUAUGAAAUGUUUAAUUUAUUUCACAGGUACCUCAACCUGUGGAUGUGUUGUGUUUUUGUGCACCGUGAUCAAGUAUGUCCUUCCUUUUGAUGACCACAUAUAUAAACGGCCCCUCUGCCAAAUGUUUUCAUUCAAUGUGGCUGGCAAGUAUAACUGAUUGUCUGAUGUGUGGAAGCAGUACAUGACACGUGUUGAACCAUUUCACUGUUAUUGCAAGUUAAGUUACAGUUCAGCACAUUUUAUUGUGUCUUUUAAUUGUAAUUAUUUGCAUAAUUGUGAAUGUAAAACAAAUCUCCAAUGAUUUAUAAUGUUUUCUAUGGUAUUUCUAACCACACUCAUCACUGCUGGAAGUAAAUACAGUGUUACUACAAAUGUAGUAAAGGUGUUCUUGUUUGAAAGAAUGUUUUGCAGAAGAUGUGUUAAGAUAAUUUCAUUUAAUUCAAAGAAGGCCAUCUUAAAAAAAUACAACACAAUCAUAUUAGAAAAGUGGUGUAGGUGGUAGCUUAAAUCUCAUGUAAAUAUUACUUAUAAAUUGCUCCAAAUUAAGUAAGGGAAAACUAGUUAAACAAUCCUGAAAAGUGAGUAUAUGUAUAUGGAUUUUUAAGUAGAUUCAAAGGUAGUUUUGAGUAAAAUUUACUAGCAAACAGAGUCCCUUUUGUGUCUGUGACAGUAAAUCUCAAGUAAUGUUAAAGUGUAUUUUGAAUUUAAAAAAUAAUCCUCGCUGAGAAGUAAAUUUUACUUGAAUAUUUCCCAAGUAAAAGUUACUUAGGAAUUGUGCGUGCAAUUUGUUAGCUAGCUUUUCUCAAGUAAAUGGCACUCCAAUUUUUUUUCAGUGGCAGGUCAACCGGAAAAGGCCAACUUUUACCGGUGCUAAGACCGGCAUAAGGACCAUAUAGCAUUGGGAGGCACAUAUAGCGUACGGCUAAUGAUGGCAGUGGAAAUAGACAUGGAUGUCACACCGACAAAGUGAAUUAUUUCAUAAUCUGACUCAUUUCGUGCAUGGAACCUUAUUGACUGACCCUGUGUUUACUUGGUAUCGUUUUGAUAUUAAAAUGUGCAGUAUCUCCCAACCCCACUGUGCAUGACUGGCAACCAGUCCCUCCAGAUUGGAGUCAAUAUGGAAUUGACUCAUUUUAUUUUCCAUGAUUUCCAGUGUAACAAAUAGUUUGGGAAUCCAAACUAAUGAAGGUAGACAAGCGUAGCCGCACUAAACGUGUUAGUGACUUUACAUGUUACAUGCUCGUCCUUAAACCUUCGUUUGAUCACCCCCCCCAUGGGCAGGAGCCAUGGGGGCAAAGGACUGAUACAGGAAACUGUCAGAUGAGUUGACUGCCUUGUCAUCGUUUGAUGCUGCAUGAGCCAGCAGUAAUGGCGAAGACAUGAAGAAACAUUUCUCUGUAUUUAUCGCCAUCUCCUGGAAUGUUUUGCAAUUACACAAACUCAACCGCACACGCUUGACGCUGUCAUUUCACCAUUUGUGGCCCGAGGGCCAUUUAAGGCCCACGCAUGAUUUAUGUAUUGGCCUGUGGCACAUUCUACAGAAAUAAUUGAACAGGAACAGUAAAAAUACAAUGAAAAUCAGUAGUAAUCCCACAUUAAGGGGCCAAAAAUGUUGGAAUAUUAGGCAGAACAAACACACGUUUUUUUUUAAUAGAUUAGGUUGUGCCAAAAGUUAUACUGUUACGAGAAUAAUGUCAAAAUAUUCUGGAGAAAAAAAAUGUUCUGAGAAAAAAAAGUCUGAGAAGAAAGUCGAAAUAGUUGGAAACGUAAAGCAGAAAUGGAAAAAAGAAGCUGUAAUUUCAUGGGAACAAAGUCAAAAUAUAAAGGGGAAAAAAGCCGCUAAUAUCGGACACCCCGAAUUAUUCCAAGAAGGACAUUUACCAUCAUUUCUGAAGAAGAAAGUGGACAUAUUUAGAAAGAAACAGCAAUAAUGGGGGUGGAAAGAGCAUAUAAUAGAAUAACUUUUUCACCGAUAUGACAGAUGAGAUCUUAGCAUAUCUCCAUACUGUGUCAAAGUGGCCCUC